UACAGAGGGGGCAAGCGUUGUUCGGAAUUACUGGGCGUAAAGGGCGCGUAGGCGGCCCGCUAAGUCGAACGUGAAAUCCCCGAGCUCAACUCGGGAACUGCGUCCGAUACUGGCGGGCUUGAAUCCGGGAGAGGGGUGCGGAAUUCCAGGUGUAGCGGUGAAAUGCGUAGAUAUCAAGCGGAACACCAGUGGCGAAGGCGAGUCUCUGGACAAUUCCUGACACUGAGGCACGAAAGCCAGGGGAGCAAACGGG
rnacentral:rRNA from 1 species